rnacentral:rRNA from 1 species
UACGGAGGGUGCAAGCGUUAUCCGGAUUCACUGGGUUUAAAGGGUGCGUAGGAGGGCAGGUAAGUCAGUGGUGAAAUCUUCGAGCUUAACUCGGAAACUGCCGUUGAUACUAUCUGUCUUGAAUCCCGUGGAGAUGAGCGGAAUAUGUCAUGUAGCGGUGAAAUGCUUAGAUAUGACAUAGAACACCAAUUGCGAAGGCAGCUCGUUACACGAAGAUUGACUCUGAGGCACGAAAGCGUGGGGAGCAAACAGG